GUCUGGGCAAGGGGCAGUUGGUGAACCUGCUGCCUCCAGAGAACCUUCCCUGGUGUGGAGGCAGCCAGGGACCCAGGAUGCUCCGGACCUGUUACGUGCUCUGUUCCCAAGCUGGUCCCCUCUCCAGGGGCUGGCAGUCCCUGAGCUUUGAUGGCGGGGCCUUCCACCUUAAGGGCACAGGAGAGCUGACACGGGCCUUGCUGGUUCUCCGGCUGUGUGCCUGGCCCCCACUCGUCACUCACGGGCUGUUGGUGAGCAGUGAUCCUGAGGACCAGCCUGGAGGCUCCUCAUAGCCUGGCCCUGAGCCCUCGCUUCCUGUCACCCAGCUCCAGGCCUGGUCUCGGCGACUCCUGGGCUCCCGGCUCUCAGGCGCGUUUCUCCGAGCAUCCGUCUAUGGGCAGUUUGUGGCUGGUGAGACAGCAGAGGAGGUGAGGGGCUGCGUGCAGCAGCUGCGGACCCUCAGCCUCCGACCACUGCUGGCAGUGCCCACUGAGGAGGAGCCGGACUCUGCUGCCAAGAGUGGGUGAGUAGGGAGCCAGGGCCCAGGGAGGCUGGGAGGACUCAGGAAGGGGCUUUGCGGGUCGGGCCCUGACACCUGCUGGCUGGGCAGUGAGGCGUGGUAUGAGGGGAACCUCGGUGCUAUGCUGCGGUGUGUGGACCUGUCACGGGGCCUCCUGGAGCCCCCCAGCCUGGCUGAGGCCAGCCUCAUGCAGCUGAAGGUGACGGCGCUGACCAGCACUCGGCUCUGUAAGGAGCUAGCCUCGUGGGUCAGAAGGCCAGGAGCCUCCUUGGAGCUGAGCCCC
rnacentral:sRNA from 1 species